rnacentral:sRNA from 1 species
CUCUAAACUUGGAAAAUAAGGUGUCUUCCGCGGGUUACAACGCAUGACAUUUCGCAAAUAGUUCUGAAGCCAGGACUAACCUAAAUCCGCCGUGACCCCACUGUAGCCCCAUCGUGGCCGAUGAGCAUGCCCUGUCAGUCGAGGACUGGGCCGAUUUGGGUCGCCGUGGGUUUGGCAUGAACAAAUUUUCUGCUGAAAUCCCAAGCGGUGAUGUGGAGUGGAGAAUAAAGGGGAAACGAAACCCCGAAGUGUAUGCUGCCGAUCCCCGCGUCGAAAAUGGAGAGAAAAGAGAUUGAGAGCCACGGCCAAUUCCAACGUGCAGGGCUGGCGUGAUGAAAGAAGGAAUGGAUUGUGAAUAUCCAUGGAAUUAUCUAUCUGCUGAACAAGAGUGAAGGCAAGAUAUAUGUUAUCCCCGUAUUAUAGCAAUUGUUUCUAAUGGCUCACUUCUAACCACCUGUCAGCACAAAGUGUCUUCGUACAAGAUAUUUUUGGCAAGAUAUUAUAUAUAGGACCACCACUCGACUUAUCCAAACGAAAGCUGGCAUAACUAUGAAAAUCGUAUGUUGUAUAUCGCCAAAUAAACAUGUCAAAUAAGACCAAAGAAAAGCAUGUCGAAAAGCAAAAAGAGCAUAGAAAAGAAAGGAGAUAUAGAGGUCACGUGUUGGGGACGAUUGCCAAAAAAAAAAACAACCAAAACCAACAGCGUAAAAAGCAAAUUGCUGUCAUAUAAUCUCAUAUCGUGUCAUGUGGAGUGGUUUAAAUCAGAUUACCACGCAGUGCCUGCUCGCGCUCGAUGGCCUCGAAGAGGGAUUUGAAAUUCCCCGCGCCAAAGCCGGAGAAGUUGUGGCGUUGGAUGAUUUCAACGAAGACGGUCGGACGGUCCAUGAGGUGCUGUAAAACAAGAAUAUCCCGGAGCAUACCUUCGUGAACAACUGCAACAGAUAACCCCCUUCAUCAAAAUCAAUAAGAAUAUCUAGACUUUUCAGCGUCUCAAAGUCUUCCUCCAACUUCAUGCCCCCCUUCUCCAAUCUCGCCUUCAUAUCCUCGUAAUACGUCUCGGGGACCUUGAUGAACUCCACUCCGCGGGCUUUCAGAUUCGUGAUGUCACGGAUGAUAUCGUCCGAGCGGAGCGCGAUGUGUUGGACGCCCGCCCCGUUGUAGAAGUUGACAUAUUCCUCGAUUUGGGAUUGUUUCUUGCCUUUCGCAGGCUCGUUUAUGGGCAUCUUUACCAGCUCGUUUGGAGAUGCCAUGACGACGGACUUUAGGGCGGAGAAUUCACUGGAGAUAUUUUAUUUGUGUUAAUCAGAGGAGUUACAAGAAAGGUAUUAUGGACGAAAAGGAAAAGGGGUACAUACGUGAAGAUAUCCUUGUCGUCGACAGACCAGAACCGAUGGAAGCCGAGGACUUUCUCAUAACUAAAAAUCGGGGUUAGCCAGGUCUCUCUUUUCAGUUUGUUCAGGGGAAACCCGGGGGGUAAUACUAUUCACAAACUUUGUCCAUCUCAUUCCAAUCCUGAUUGCCAACGCAAUGGUCAACGUGCAAGAGUGGGACUGGGGGCAGAUGUUUCGAAAGGGGAUCCGCUGCAGUCUCCUGUCGAUAUCCCGGCAAGAAUACGCCCGAAUAACCUGUCCUUUCGAUUAGAGUAUGCGUCGUCUCGCCGUAUGUUUGUAUGGUUGCCAUUUUGACCACACCCUGGCUGUCCUCCAGGGUCUUGAUGCCCGAAACAACCGUCGCCCCGUUCCGCACCGCAGCGUUGAAAACAGCCUCGACAUCGUCGACUUCGAACGCAACAUCCUUGACGCCGUCCCCGUGCUUUUCCAGAUGCGAGUGAAUCUCCGUCAACAGCGCCUGGUCAUCUUCGCUGAACUGGGACAGGUGGUCCAGCGAUCUCAGGGGCGAGGUGAGCACGAAAGUGAUAUUGCCGUUGCCGACGACGUGGGAGGCAACAGCUUUGGAGCCCGUUUCUAGGCCUCGAUAUGCGAUUCUCUCGAAGCCCAUGCGGGCCGUGUAGUAGGCGGCAGCUUGUUUGGCAUUGCCCACGUACCAGUGCACAUGGUCGUAGCCCUUGUACCUGGACAGAUCACCAUUGCUUUGAAGGCGUGGGCUAGCUGGCGGGGAGAUAGCAGCUGGUGGCAUGGUCACUUGAUAUAGGUACCGCUGUGCAGCGUUCGGUUGCGCUGUGUCACUAUGCUACUGUGGUAUGUUCAAAGUGAUAGCAAUGGAAAUGGAGAGGAAGAUCCAAGAUUGAUAUCAGCACAUGAAACAAAGGUGGCGCCACCGAGAUACCUAACGGUUAUAUACUUGUACAGUGCAGAUAUAUGUUUUGUUGAUCAGAGCUUUGGAACGGCUUGCCGGCAGCGGAAGCUGCGCCAGCUCCACCAGCCUAUCCCCCUGCACUGAUUAAUAUACUUGUUCCAGCGCGUUUUCCAGGGUUUCGCCCUCUGUCCGGUGUUGGUUAUUUUCGGUGGCCGUGGAAAUAGCUCGGCUACUGUCGGGGCGGAAUGUUGCGCGCCAAUCAGAGUCGGUGCUGAGAACCGAACCUAUCCUAAGCAUCCGCUUACUCAGCACCGUCUUCGGCAGUGCGAUUGCCAUACAAAAAGUAGGUAGUUAGCCGUCGCCCAGCUUGGAUCGACUGCCGAAGCGGAGAAAGUAUAUGAUUUUUAAAGUCUUCGCUGUAGACACAGAGAUGUAUAUAUAUAGGCCUAUAUUUAUAUACUGAUAUAAAUAGAUGUAUAUCCAGCUAUCAUUUUCCUCCCCCAACAUCCCUCUUUAACUGACAUCCUCCAUCAUCGUAUCCAGGACAGUAUGAACAGACAAGUAACGAAAUAAUUAUCUAGCCCUAUGAGAAAAUGGCGCCCUCAGCAACGACGAUAAACUCCUCCGCCCCUCGCCUCUCCUCCAACGACUCCGCUGUCCUCCAAGCCCUCUUUGACGCUGAGGCCUCCCCCCGCAAUGCCUCGGCCGGCAUCCACGUCGACCCUUCUCUCCCCCAGCAACUACCUGGCAUAUCCCCAACCGAGCUCUCAGCACUGCAAGCGCUCGAACGCGCCGCGAUAAUCCCCUUACAAGCAGACACAGAGGCGGAGCAGAUACGAGAUGCCGUGGCGAAGCUGACGGCCAUCAUUGAGACGAAUAAGGGCUAUGCGUCAGCGUAUGUGAACAGGGCGCAGGCGGCGAGGAUGUUGGCGGAAAGGAAGAAUAGGGAUAGGAAUCAAAAUCUUCAGGGUAAUGGUAGGAGGGUGAAUGAUGGAUCUAGAGAUAACGAAGCGGCGGACCCCUACCAGGAGGCGGAGGACAAUGACGACCAGGAGUUGGCAAAUAUGAUCUUCUCCGACCUCUCAACGGCAAUCACACUCCUCACCCCAUCUCCCGUCUCCAACUCGUCCUCCGCAUCUUCCUCCGCACCAUCACAACAAUCACAGCACCAACCAACCAGCCUCUCCCCGCUGCACGCCCGCAUCAUCGCGAACGCCCACACCCACCGCGCCUACAUCCUCUACCGCGCUUCACGAGCCCUCUCCACAUCCACCACAUCUCUACCCAACACCGCAACCGAACCACUGACUCUCCCGCGCCACCUGCAGCAUAAAUCCGCGCAGCAACUCGAAGAGAUGGCCAGCAUGGAUUUCCAGCUGGGCGGGCGCUAUGGGAACGACAUCGCGCGCCAGCUGGCGAUCAAGACCAAUCCGUACGCAAAGAUGUGUGGGGCGAUCGUUAAGGAGGC